UUGACGGUGCAGUCCCAGGUCGCGUCCGGGUUGAGCAGGCCCUCCUCGCCGAACUGCUCGCCGUCGGCCAGGACGCCGAUCCGCGUGGCGUCGCCGUAGGGGCCCUCGGUGGUCUUGUGGACCCGGCCGUGGGCCAGGAGGUAGAGGUGGUCGGCGGGCCUGCCCUCGUGCGCGAGCACGUCACCGGGCUCGAACUCGCGCUGGGUGAAGCGGCCGGCCAGCUCGCCCAGCACGCCCACGUCGUCGAAACCGGACAGCAGCGCCAGCUCGCCGAGCUCCUGUGGGAUGACCUCGACGUCGGCGCCGGUCUGGUUGAACUCGAUACGGCCGUCACCGAUGGUGUAGCUGAGGCGGCGGUUGACGCGGUAGGCGCCGCCCUCGGUCUGCACCCAGGGCAGCAUCCUCUGCAGCCAGCGGGAACUCUUCCCCUGCAUCUGCGGUGCGGACUUGGUGGUGGUCGCCAGGUUCCGGGCGGCCGCGGUCGCCAGGCUCCGCUGGCCGUUCCGG
rnacentral:antisense_RNA from 1 species